UGCUUUACUCUACCGUACCAUUAGGAUUAAACGCGACCAUCCAUUAGGAACCAUCGGGAACCAUUAAAUACCAUCAGUGCUCCAUUACAGACCAUCAAUGUUACAUUAGAGGUAACACACUGUAAACACUGAACUAUGUGAGUGUAGCGGUGGUAGUGAAUGAGAUGUGUGUUAGGAUGGUGUGUGUGUGUGUGUGUGUGUGUGUGUGUGUGUGUGUGUGUGUGUGUGUGUGUGUGUGUGUGUGUGUGUGUGUGUGUUUACAAAGCGCAGUUGGACGGAUGACUGGGAUACAAAGAGCAGAGACUUGUUUCUGCUGCAGCUGCACGCGCUGAUGUCCCUCUACUACACUAUUUAAGGUUAUCAAAUCAAACGGAAGAUCUGUUUUAUUACACUUUAAGAUGUCGCGCCGAAAGCAGACAAAGCCGAGUCCUCUGGAAGAUCAUGAAAUGGACUUCGAAAUUUCAAAACUUCCAACUCCAUACAUGGAAAGUGAGGAGGAAGAAAGAUUACUGCCUGAUGACUGCGAGUAUUACAGUGAAAGCUCCGAGAGAGAGAGAAAGAGCACAGUGGAGUCACAGAAAAUCUCUCUGCUGGAUCUCAUGAAGAAACAGAUCACUGUGAAGAGACAAAGGGAUUUCUUGGACAGUGAUGAUGAGUCUGUUGUUUCAUAUAAACUUUACCAGGAACUUCAGGAUAGUUACAUAACGCUGAAAAAACGUUUCAGAGAGAAGGACGUUAUUAUUGCGGAAAAAGACUCGGCAAUCAGGAAGCUGAGCGAAAAGUGCAGAAGGAUGACGGUGGAGCUGGAUAAAAUCAGACAACUGAAUAUUUGCCUUCAAGAACAACUUUUUUUAAAAGAAGAAGGACCACAGCCUCAACACACAAUUCACACAGAAAACACAGAAUGUUUGUAUGAGCCCUAUGAAAAGGUAUUGGUUCCUAAAGUGAAGGAACUUAAAGAACCCCAACCCGAGGAUCUCACAGAGAAGGAGUUUGGGAGGGUGGCCCUUGGACAUGGGGUGCAUUUGGACAAGCAGAAAUGGAAGGCCAUUCAAAGAAUGGAUUCUCAUUCUAAGUUUUGUAAGUCAUUGGCUGUUGCCAUUUGGGGCCUUGAGACGCUAAAGGAGAGGAGUGUGACCGGAUCCAAAUCAAAUGCCAUCAAAGGGUCGGUGGCAAAGCCUCCAUUAUCACCUGAGAAAGUCGGUGUUAUUAGAGGUAUUCAAUUCAAUUCAAUUCAAGUUUAUUUGUAUAGCGCUUUUUACAGUAGACAUUGUCUCAAAGCAGCUUUACAGAACAUAAACAUAUAGCAGAAGGUAAACAUAAGGAAUAAUAAAAGAAAUAACGAAUAAUAAAAGAAAUAAUGAAUAAUAAAAGAAAAAGAAUUAACAGAAUAAAAAUUCAAGAUUAUUAUUAGAUAUAUAUAGUUCACAAUCUGUAUGUAUUUAUCCCCCUAUGAGCAAGUCUGAGGUGACUCAGGCAGCAGUGGCAAGGAAAAACUCCCAUAAAUUGGGAAAGGAAGAAACCUUGAGAGGAACCGGACUCAAGGGGGACCCAUCCUCAUAUGGGUGACACUGGGGGUGUGAUUGUAAUAUACAGUCAAACAAAUGUUGUAUUGGUGUAAGGAUCAUGGACUUCAGAUCUCCUUAGUAUCACAGAGUCUAACUGGAGAUGUCUCAGGAUUCUUAGAGUCGGCCUCGGCUCAGUGGACGUCCAAAGGCUUCAUCCAACAGAGGACGUUGGGAGCUGGUACAAUGUCUGGAUGUUUCGGGAUGGGUUCAAAGAGAGAAGCAGUGGAGAGGGAUUAACAUAUCUGCUGUUCAUAAAAAUGUGCAGAAUGCCUGAAGGAACGACUCCAGCAGCGUGGCUAUCAGAAGGAGGAAGUCGAUGGACAGCUGCGAUUGGUUCGACGUUUUCUCUCUGAGAAAAUUUGCGACAUCAAAAGGAAAGUCAGUAUAAAUUUAGAGG